AGCGAACGCUGGCGGCAGGCUUAACACAUGCAAGUCGAACGCCCCGCAAGGGGAGUGGCAGACGGGUGAGUAACACGUGGGAACGUACCCUUUGGUUCGGAAUAACUUGGGGAAACUCAAGCUAAUACCGGAUAAGCCCUUAUGGGGAAAGGUUUACUGCCGAAGGAUCGGCCCGCGUCUGAUUAGCUAGUUGGUGAGGUAAUGGCUCACCAAGGCGACGAUCAGUAGUUGGUCUGAGAGGAUGAUCAGCCACACUGGGACUGAGACAAGGCCCAGACUCCUACGGGAGGCAGCAGUGGGGAAUAUUGGACAAUGGGGGCAACCCUGAUCCAGCCAUGCCGCGUGAGUGAUGAAGGCCUUAGGGUUGUAAAGCUCUUUUACUCGGGACGAUAAUGACUGUACCGGGAGAAUAAGCCCCGGCUAACUUCGUGCCAGCCGCCGCCGUAA
rnacentral:rRNA from 1 species